rnacentral:lncRNA from 1 species
GGCAAAGACACAGAGAGUGCACCCAGAACACAUACCCCCAGGAGACCUGCAGGGGCCAGGGCUGCCUGACAGACCCCUCCACGCCCCAUGUCCACAGGGUGAUGCCUCAUCACAACCGUAAAGGAAUGUCAAGAGGACAGAAUUCUGAGAACUUGGGGAGGAGGUGCCUCGAUUUUUCUGGAAGAAGGUGGCAGAAAGAGCAAAUCAAGCUAAGAGGGCCUGCUAGCUGGUAAGUAGCUCUGCAAAGAAUGGAGAAAGAAGGGCCCCACAGUCAAAGAUGCCCAGGAUAAUUCCUAUAGGACCUGCUUCAUUUCCCAGGCAAGGUGUGUCAUCAGCUUAUAUGCAAAUGAGGUCUUAACAAAUUAUUUUUAAAGUCAUUGGAAAAAAAUGCUUAGCUCGCCCAAUUUUGGUGGGUUCAGGACUUAUGUUCCAACAAUGCUUAUUACCCUGUAAAUCUGGACAUAAAACCAGCUCCAGUCAGGGUUUGAAUCAGCAUGAAUUCUAGGUCAGUGUAGGUCCAAAGAAGAGGUUUGUGCAGCCGGGGCUGAGGACACAGCAGCCUUAUCGCUAACUGUGGUUCUGGCCAGGGCUCUGCACAAGGCAGGAGCAGCAAGCUAGUUACACAGGGCCAGUGCCCUCAACCUGCUCUCCUGUUUUUCCUGUCCUUCUCCCUUCUACCAGGUGGCUCUUUCCUGCUCAGGACAGUGCUCUUGGACAGACCCUCCAGUGGGCACUUAAGAGUCCUAGGAAACUGAAGCCCAGAGAUGCCAAAUGAUUGAGGUCCGAGGUCAUCCAGCAUCAGAGCCAGGAUUACACAAUCACUUAAAAUGCAGCUCAACUGUGAAAGUGAGGAGGGAGAAUAUAAGUGUGAGUUCAUGACCCGCCAUCCUCAGGGGAAGCCUGCAUCAUGUCACCCCCGCCAGGUGACGCACGUGCACAUGCCUCUGAUCUAUCUACCCUGCCAGCUACAGAAAUCAAGACAAAGCCUGGAAUCUACCAACCUACCAGCAUCUCCAGCAGGAAGGGUGGAGCCUCCCUGCCCAGUCCACACCCCCAUAAGAAGAACCAGGGGUAGAAGAGAAUAGGGGGAGUUGAGGCGACCAGGCACGGCGUGGGUCCUCUGCCUCAGGAGCGCCCACAGGGAAGGCUCAAGUCAUACCAUCCUCGUGUCCCAGGUGCACUCCCAUUGCAAAACCCAAACCGCUGUUCAUCUGCCUCUGCCAGCCCAGGGGGGAAAGGGAAAGGGGAGAGAGAUACAGAGGGUACCGCAAGGCCACUCCCUGCAACAUGCCUGAAGCCUCAGGG